UUUAUGGAGAGUUUGAUCCUGGCUCAGGACGAACGCUGGCGGCGUGCCUAAUACAUGCAAGUCGAGCGGAGUUUUAAAAGCUUGCU
rnacentral:ncRNA from 1 species